GUAGUCUGCAACCCGACCUACAUGAAGCCGGAAUCGCUGUAAUCGCGGAUCAGAAUGCCGCGGUGAAUACGUUCCCGGGCCUUGUACACACCGCCCGUCACACCAUGAGAGUUGGAAAUACCCGAAGCCUGUGAGCUAACAGUAACGAGGCAGCAGUCGAAGGUAGAGCCAAUGAUUGGGGUGAAGUCGUAACAAGGUAAC
rnacentral:rRNA from 1 species